CUCAAGUAGCAGCUCAGCAUGACAGACUGGCUUACGAAAGGAGGCGUAAUGUACUUUGCAAUAGCAUUAUUUCUUGCCUUUGUUUCUGAGAACCAAACGGAAGGAGCUGAUUGCCUUGAACAAGAAUACCCCGGCAUCCUUAAAAAACCUGUAUAUGUCAACGGCAGUCACUGCAUUGUGAGUAAGACUGUCCAGUUGCCAAAUGGAACAAGUGAAUCAUUUCGGCGACCCUGCAUCAAGCUCACGUGCCUUGUCCAUGAAAAAAAACUGAAAGAAGAAUACUGCAAGCCAUCUGACAAUUACGACGAAAACGGCUUUCAACUUGAACCAUCAGGAGACGGAGGAUUUCCUUUCUGUUGCCCUAUGGCUACUGCUAAGAAAAAGCCCUAGACAGAAAUAAAGUUGUUUUUUUCCUGCA